UACAGAGGGUGCUAGCGUUGUUCGGAAUCAUUGGGCGUAAAGGGCGUGUAGGCGGUUUGUUAAGUCAUGUGUGAAAUCCCUCGGCUCAACCGGGGAACGACGCAUGAAACUGGCAAGCUAGAGUACCAAAGAGGGGGGUGGAAUUCCCGGUGUAGCGGUAAUAUGCGUAGAUAUCGGGAGGAACACCAGUGGCGAAGGCGGCUCUCUGGGGUAUUGCUGACGCUGAGGCACGAAAGCGUGGGGAGCAAACAGG
rnacentral:rRNA from 1 species